AACUUGUCUUUUUUCAUUCAUUGUCUUAGUAAGAGACCACUGAAGUAAUGGUUCUCAAAUUGUGGUCUCUGAAGCAACACUACCACCAUCCCUUAGAGUGUGUGAGAGUGGUCCUGCCUGAGGCAGCAGUAUUUAGCAGCUCUCCAGGGUAUUCAUGGUUGAGAAGAUUGGAGAGUUGGGAAGCUACCUCUGUUACAGGCUGUAAAUAUGGUCACUUGUCCCAGUUUGGCCCUUUCCUAAGCUGCCCAUCCAUCCAUUGUGGCUUCCCUUCUGCCCCUGUAUUCGAAAGUGAUUGUGGGCUGCUGGUGCCCUGGUCAUUGAUACUGCAGGGAGAGGAUGCCGAAAGCCUUUCCCCGUGUUUGGAGGAUCACACUUGUCCUUGUCAAACCCUGGUGCUUUCGAACAAAUCUUCCUUCUCACAGCCUAGUGGUCUCUCAGUUGCAGAUACCAGGCUCACUUAGAGUCCUCUACCAGUGCUGGGCAGUGUCCUAAGAGGACAUUAUUCUGGCUCAGUUUUGCAAAUAUCCCAUGAGCCCCAGUUACAUUCUCCUUCCAUGGCUGUGGAUUCGAGGCCUGCAGACAGACAUCUGUCUGGUAGAUGGGUGGCAUGUUCCCACAUGCAGUGUCAGGAGAAGAGUAAACUUGGCUAACAGGGAUGCUGGUCCCUGAACCUGUCUAGCUCUGACCUGUUAUUACCAGCUUCCAGUUAGCUAACAGUGCCCGAAGCUAGAAGAUACGUGAUGAUGGGUGGAGAUAAGAAAGCAUCAUGUUCCCCGUCCCCUUUAAUUUUCUAGAUGUUUGUGGACACCAGAGGGCCAAAGAAGACAAAGUGAAACUGGAGACACCGCCCCCCUUGGCAUCAUGAAACUGCCGAUUUUACUGGCUCAUGCAUGGGAGACACCAGCAUACAAAGUCUUGACACCAACACCUCAGAGGGCUGUGUUCUGUCCCCGUGACCAUCAGCCAGUGCCUGGAAAGACUAGUGACAAGAACUUGUUGCCAACUUCCUCUUACCUCCCUAACAGUUGUGCAUGCAAUAAACCCCAUAGGUUAAUUCAGUCUGCCUUUUAAAUCUGUGUCAAGCCAUGAACUCAGCUGGGUGUGGAAAAGGAGACUAGCUCCUGACACGCCUGUGACUUUCCUGUUCUUGAUGCCCCCUGAGGCUUGGGCUUCAGGGUGUUGGGAGUGGACAAGUAGGGCUGGUAGCCUCAGAUUUUAGGGCUUGUGAGAGUUGAGAUAGCUGAACAGGCAAGGUCAGAACUUGGGGAAGGUGCCUGUGUCAGUAAAAAAGGCUGGGGUGUCACAGUCCUAGGAAGUGACGUAUCAUUGCUGAGAACUAGGGAUGUGAAUGGGUAAAUGGACUGGAAUAUAAAAUGUAGAGCAUUUUCCUGACAGGACAGGUGACUGUAGACAGGAACUAGGGUAUGCUUAGGGACUGGCUUUGGAGGACCUUAAGGAACAGAAAGAAGUACUGUGGGUGGGAUGUCAGGUGGGGAGAAAGAAGAAACCCCCUUGAGUAACUUGGAUACCAAUAGGGCCAAAGAGAAACUGGUAAAGAGGGUGUAAUUACUGAUGGGUUUAUAACUAGGACUUUUCUAUUCGAAGUGAAGGACCUGUGGAACGCUUGGUAAGGGUGCUUACUAAGCUUAGUUCCCAGAACACAAACAGGUAAAUGGUACAUUUUAAAAACUAACACAUUUUUCUUGUCUGAGAAUUUGUAAAUUUUGAUUUUUAAGUCUGUGUAGGGAGGUCUGCAGUUCACAGAAGGCAUAUGAUCACUGGACUGGGUGUUACAGGUAGCCUUGAGCCUCCCGACAUGAAUGCUGGGGACUGAACCUGACAGAAUUCAAGGACCAUCUCUAGGCCAGUGAAGAGCUUGAUAGCAGGCUGUAGGUGUGGACAGCUAUGGUGCCCCUGGACUUCUGGGAACACAAAAGCUAGGGGUUGGUUUGUAGGGGGUUUGAGACAGGGUUUCUCUGUAGCCUUGGCUGUCCUGGAACUCUGUAGACCAGGCUGGCCUCGAACUCAGAAAUCCACCUGCCUCUGCCUCCCGAGUGCUGGGCAUGCGCCACCACUGCCCGGCCUAGUUUUCUAUUUCAGAGAAAGAUUUUUGGAGUUAUUCUGAGUGGGGUGGUUAUUCUUAGCUAAUACCUUUCUGAGAAGGUAUUAAUUAGCUAAGAUUUGUCUUGAUACUUUUGCAGUGGUUUUUAAGCAUUCUAGAUAUCUGAAAUUUAAGCUAGAGAUGGUUCUAGAAAAGUUCUUGAAUUUUUAUGUGACGACUUCUAAUGUUACUGGGCUUCAUGAUGGACGUUUACCAAGACUGGGAUUGACAGUCAUUUAUUUUUAGCUUUUGGGCAUUCCCAUUAGCAUUGGUUACUAUACAAAUUUAUUUGAGUCUUGAAUGAUUAAGGAAGAGAAUGGAGCCCUCUACUGUUGGUUGGGAAGAAAGUUAACAUUGGUACUGAAAGAUCCUGACAGAAUGUAAAAGGUCACAGAAGCCCUGACAUUGGCAAAAUAGAUUUCAUUGUUAGUAGAAGUAGCUUCACUGAUUUAGAAAAACAGAGGUGCCCAAUGUUCUGACCGUUCCUUGAACCCAGGUGUGUGCCCUCCCAUACUCAUUUUACAUUGUUUAGAUCUGGAAAUCCCCUACUCCCCUCUUCUCCUUCCCGCCCUGAGGACCUAUAAAAACUGGGACCCCUUUCCCCUCGUGGUCAACUCCUCUACCCCUGCGUGGGAUACGAGUCGUCCCCAGAGCUUUGGCUUUCCCCAAAUAAAGCCUCAUGUGGUUUGCAUCAA
rnacentral:lncRNA from 1 species